rnacentral:rRNA from 1 species
GACGAACGCUGGCGGCGUGCCUAAUACAUGCAAGUAGAACGCACAGUUUAUACCGUAGCUUGCUACACCAUAAACUGUGAGUUGCGAACGGGUGAGUAACGCGUAGGUAACCUGCCUGGUAGCGGGGGAUAACUAUUGGAAACGAUAGCUAAUACCGCAUAAUAUUGAUUAUUGCAUGAUAAUUGAUUGGAAGAUGCUAUUCAUCACUACCAGAUGGACCUGCGUUGUAUUAGCUAGUAGGUGAGGUAACGGCUCACCUAGGCGACGAUACAUAGCCGACCUGAGAGGGUGAUCGGCCACACUGGGACUGAGACACGGCCCAGACUCCUACGGGAGGCAGCAGUAGGGAAUCUUCGGCAAUGGACGAAAGUCUGACCGAGCAACGCCGCGUGAGUGAAGAAGGUUUUCGGAUCGUAAAGCUCUGUUGUAAGAGAAGAACGGGUGUGAGAGUGGAAAGUUCACACUGUGACGGUAUCUUACCAGAAAGGGACGGCUAACUACGUG